GAGUUUGAUCAUGGCCAGGAUGAACGCUAGCGGCCGGCUUAACACAUGGAAGUCGAGGGGUAUACGUCUUCGGAUAUAGAGACCGGCGCACGGGUGCGUAACGCGUAUGCAAUCUACCUUUUACAGGGGGAUAGCCCACAGAAAUUUGGAUUAAUACCCCAUAGUAUACAGAGUUGGCAUCAGCCUUGGAUUAAAGUCACAACGGUAAAAGAUGAGCAUGCGUCCCAUUAGCUAGUUGGUAAGGUAACGGCUUACCAAGGCUACGAUGGGUAGGGGUCCUGAGAGGGAGAUCCCCCACACUGGUACUGAGACACGGACCAGACUCCUACGGGAGGCAGCAGUGAGGAAUAUUGGACAAUGGUCUUCAGCCUGAUCCAGCCAUGCCGCGUGCAGGAUGACGGUCCUAUGGAUUGUAAACUGCUUUUGUACGAGAAGAAACACUGCUUCGUGAAGCAGCUUGACGGUAUCGUAAGAAUAAGGAUCGGCUAACUCCGUGCCAGCAGCGCGGUAA
rnacentral:rRNA from 1 species